GCAAAGUGUGUCUGAGUCAGGAGAGAGAUGGCGCGCGAAGUGUGGACGCUCCUGCUCGUGCUCUUGCUCUUGCUCCCGGCCCUUGGCCACGCGCAGAGCGGAGACGGAGGCAGUGAAGAUGGGGACGCAGAUCUAAAUGCCGAGCCUGAAUGCUUCAGUGAGAUCAGCCUCAAAGUCAGCAAUAUAACCUGUUUCUUUUCUGACGUCAUUAUUGGCACCAAAAUGAGUCUUUGCUCAUUGCCACCAGAUGCUAGGUGUUGGAAUUCAACUUUGAAAGGAUCUUAUUUCACUGCAGCCAUUAAUAACAUAUUGGCUAAACAUACACUCACCGUUCAAGAAGGCAAACCGAUUGUUUUGGUGGUAACAGAUAUACUCAAGCUCCCACCGCCACAGAAUAUAACAGCCAUAUAUGACAAAAACUCAGGAGAUGUAAACAUUAGUUUUAGUGAGUACAGGCAUGACUAUGUGAAGCACUUCAAUUUUCAUGUGGAAAUCUUGAAUGAAACAAAAGUUAUGAACUUUACGAAACAAAAUGAUAAUUCAAUCAUUGCACGGGACAUGCUGGGAGAUGUGAAGGGUGGCUCUAAGUAUAGGGUGAGAGCAAGAGUCAGGCCACAAACGUUUUUUUUCAAUGGACCCUGGUCAGAAUGGAGCCCAAUGCAAACCUUCACUGUGGACAAAGAUGAUGAACAAGAUCAAGUCUUGUUGUACUCAUUUAUCAUUGGCACCAUCGCCAUGCUGCUGCUUGUCAUCUGCCUGAUCACCUGGUUUCGGAGGAAGGAGUGAGUCUGACACAUCUGUUCAUUCCACUGCUCACUUUUGGCCCCCAUUGCCAACUCACUCACACUCACCCUCUGCUAUUAUUAUUCAACCCUUUCCUCCUGCUAGACUCAAAGCCUUGUAGAAGGUGGCAGAAAAUGUGAACCGCGGCAAAGUCAGAUUGCAUAAGGUUCACUAGAUAGAUAUCUUAAUAAAAAUGUGCAAAUGUGGCAAUAAUAGAUAACUUGUGUGAACAUUUUUACUUAAACUAGAAGUGUGAUUUUACUUAAAGUUGUUUUUGUUUAGAUUUAGAGUGAGAUUUUACUUAACCUUUAAAGAAUAAUUAUCUAAGUUUAAAGUCUGUUUUUACUUAAUAUUUAAAGAAUAAUUAUUUAACUUUAAAGAUUCUACUUAGAAUUAAGAGAAUAUUUGCAGAAAAUGUAAAGUAUUUUAAUCAAGCUUAUAGAGUAUACGCUCAGUAAAUGGUGCUUACAGUUUUUCUCAAAAGCUAAAACACAUUUCACAAACGUUUCCUCCAUGUUCCCCAAUGUCUAAACACACUACCCUUUUCUAAAGCUACAUAAGCACAACCACACCUUCUCACUUCAAAACUCAAACUUUCACACCAAAAGAGCAGCUUGAAGCUUUCAAAAAUGUAAACACUAUACACAUCAUUACACACUACAGCAAAACAAUUUAAAACACAUUGCUCAAUUUGUGAGAAGGUUCUUUGUUUCAUAACUGCCAAUGCAUAUUUUUUAAAAACUUUAGAGGAACGGAUCUUCUUAGAUCUCUGCAAAGGAUUAGGCAUUUGAAGAGUUCUUUUCAAAAAAUGCUAUAUCCACCAUUUUACUAAUGAAUUUUCACAAAUAUAUUUUCUAAAUUUUGUUUUUCAAAUAAUCUCAGUGAAACUGUAUGAGUUAACAAAACAACUGCAUUUUUAUUGAUAUUACCUGAAACACACAAUUACUGUAAAUACAGUAACAUAAUUUGUUACAGUACAGUAAUGUUUUCAAAAAUGGAUUUAUAGCGUUUUGGAAAAGAGCUCUUCAUUUAGAGUUGUGAGUUUCAUAUGAAGAGUACAGAAAAUUCUGCAAGUACACUACUGUAACACAACUCAAUGCAAAAAAAAACAGAAUCUAUUGCACACAACAGUACUCUUGAAAACAUGAUCAGGGUGUGAAGGUCUUUUACAGUUUUUUUCAAUUGCUUACACACAAUUUUUCAAACCGAGUUCUUUUUAACAAAAUUUAAGCACAGGUAUCCAAACGCCACACUCAGUUUGCAUAAUUCCUAGAUUCUUUGCAAAAUGAAACACUUCAGUCAAAACAAACACUUCAUUCAAAACAUACACACUUCAGUCAAAACAUAUACACAUAUUUGUAAAAAUGCUAUUAGUUGUCAUUUAACAAACACGGUCCUCAAUGAUCUGACACUAUUGCAGCCAGUUUCACACUGCAGUGAUAAAUGCAAAACGCAUUUGUAAAAAGAAAAAUUUGGAAAUAGCAUGUGCUAGAUUUUUGCCCAGACAUUGUUAUGUAGGGGAUCAUUUAGAUGUCCAAAAAAUAGUGACAAACCCACAACAUUCUUCAUGAUUACUGUAGUUCGACAUAGGGAAAGUGUACAUAAGUAGGUCUAUAAACUUGCACUUGCAUUGUACAACACUGAAGACUGCUGUAGACUGAAUAUUUCAAGUAUUUCGUUCAAUACUUACAGUAUUUCUAACCAUAAUCAGUUACAGUAAUCAACCAACAAUGAAAUCAAUUGAACAAAUAAAAUAUGUAGACAAACAAAAACUACUGCAUAAAGUACGUACACUUUGACUCUGAAGAGCAACUACUGCAAAAGCAACAAGACUGUAUAGCACACCUGAGUGCUGCAUUUUCAAUUUUGCACAUGUGUGCUUACACACCUGGUGGAUGUGAUUAUCCAAUUCGUUCAUUAGUGUAGUCAUUGGCAAUCCGGGGCUUUGUAAUGACAAGGAAGUAACCUCACACUCCUUAUCUGUGUCUAAGGUGUGGAAAUGUGUGUAGAGUUUUACAAAUCACUGUGUGUAAUGUUUUGCAAAAAGGGUGAAGCAGACAUUGUGUGUAAUGUUGUGCAAAUCUGUGGAGGUGUUUUGCUCCUUGAAGUAAAAUUUUGCUAAUUGUGUGAAAAAAAAUAUUUUAGUGUGUAAACAAUCGUAAAAAAAUGUAUUUUCUUCAUUCACACCACACACACACACACACACACACACACACACACACACACCACAGUCACUGUGCGCAUUAGCAACAAGUGUCUUCAAUUUUGAGUCGUUGUGUGUAAUAAAUGACGCCAGGUGUGUUCAUUGUGUUCAGUAAUUGCUGACUGUGGCAAGCAUUUUGCAUGCAUGAGCUUUCAUUUGAGAAUUUGUUUUGCAACAUUUGUUUUAGCAAGGAAAAAUGUGCUUAGAUUUAUGAGAACGGAGGAUUGUGUUUUGUGAAUUGUGUCUUCAUGUGAAAUGUGUUUAUGGUAUUGAAAAAUUAUGGCUAGAUUUAGUAAAUGUGUUUAGACAACUGGUCAUUUGAUUUAGGGGAUUGGCUUUUAUGUUUUAGCAUUUGAGAAAAACUGUAAUAACCACAUAACCAUAUAAAAGCAAAAUGCGUAUGCUGUAUAAGUCAGAGUUUAAAGGGAAGUCACCAGAAAGAGGAACAUGAGAUAGACAGACAGCUGAUUGUGAUAUGAUGCAAUAGGUUCAGGCUCCGAUGGACAAGUAUAAAAGUACAUAACUGGGGCUCUGCGCGGCUCUCCAUCACUUCUCUUGAACUUCAGAGACUGAGAGCAAGAAAAUUAUUUUUAUUUUUGUAUUGUAAUCAAUAAACUCAGGACCCUAACCCUUGGUUAGGGGUUUUAUUAAAAGGCA